UUCUGCAUUCACACCAUCAAUGACUGAUGUACAGUGUGAGCUGAGAGCAGCACUACACUACAUGAUGGUCAAUAUGUGUCCAUGCUUUUCUUUCUGGUGGAUCAGUGGAUAGCUCAGGUUUUUGCAUUAUGCUAAGCCAGACAUUUCCAGUAUUCUCUGUAAAUACUGAUUAACCUUUUAGUUUGCAAGGACUUAACUGUGAUCUUUCCUUUUAUUAUUAUUUUUAACUUUCCUGAAACCUGGCAGGACUGGGAGCUGACAUGGAGACAAACUUUGCCGUGCCAACCUUGGUGCUGCCAUAUACACACCGGGUAUGAAACUGCUUUGUACAUUUGCAUCUACCUUCUGUUUCUCACCACCACCCAGAUGUUCCAUCAGAUCCCACAUUUCAGUGGGUGACUUUUCAGGGAAAUAAUUAUUCAGAUGAUAUUACCCACGAGUGAAGAACAGGCAGACUGUCCUUCCCAUAAGAUUCCAUGUCAAAGGAUAUCCAGCAAGAAGCAAGGACUUCUCGCUUUCAGAAACCCACCUGUGUCACAGUGAUUCUCUGGGAAGCAGAACAAACCAAGGGCUGCCUGUCUUCCAUGCCUCCCUGGUCAGGUCUGCAAGAAGGCAAUUAUAGUUGAUACAACGCAGCAAGGAGAAGAGGACAUUCCCAAGAUCAUCCAAUUCUGAGCAAAACAAAUGUUUGUUCUCUGCUUGUGAAUGCUGCACCUGAAAAUACACGGAGCCAUAGAAUGGGUACCCAUAGAAUGGAUAGCUUGGGAAGGAUUUUCUGCCAGCUGACUGUUCUGAGGAUAUUGGCCCCUGUGUGUAAGAGUAAAUAUGACUGGAAGUGGAGAUAUAUACAUAUGGCCCCUCCUGAAAUGCCAGUGUG